rnacentral:rRNA from 1 species
UACGUAGGGGGCUAGCGUUGUCCGGAAUCAUUGGGCGUAAAGCGCGUGUAGGCGGUCCGGUAAGUCCGCUGUUAAAGUCGGGGGCUCAACCCUCGAAUGCCGGUGGAUACUGUCGGGCUAGAGUGCGGAAGAGGCGAGUGGAAUUCCUGGUGUAGCGGUGAAAUGCGCAGAUAUCAGGAGGAACACCAAUUGCGAAGGCAGCUCGCUGGGACGUUACUGACGCUGAGGAGCGAAAGUGUGGGGAGCGAACAGG